AACCGCCAAUUGCAAUAUUUCAAAAAAGAACCCGAUCAACCACUGUUUUGCUGUUCAGAAGUCCGUCUAUAAUUUAUCAUAAACUAAAGGAACACAGGUCAGAUUCGGACAACGACUUCAAAUUCGUUCGCAGAAUACGCUAAACAAUUGGACGACGGAUACACUGGAUGAUAAUGUAGAUGGUCCAGGAUUAUCUGGGAAGGAAACUACAGGUGUUGAACACAGAAAACCGUUUACAAGAAAACAACUGGAGUUUGUGAAAGCUGCAAGAAAUUAAUCUUGCCGGGGUACGCAUUCACUUCACCUUGGUCGAGUGCAGCACAGUGGAUAAAUGUGUUGCUGAAGGAAAACACCAUUGCUAGGAUUCAAACCCACGACACUCUGUUGAAAGGUGAGAGUCAGAACCACUAGACCACGACGCACCCACAAUUAACAAGCUGAUGUCAUACCCCCACUUGUUCUUUUGUAUUUUAUAACAAGAAGUCAUGUUUAUUCACAUUUUGACCUCCAAGAACUAAAAAGUGGAGUGAAGAUUUAUUUAAUGUAAACACAUGCAUUGCUUGAAAUCAUUUUAUGCUACGUGGGACAUAUCAUACACACGUGUACGAAAAUAUGAAAUUAUUAUGAUUUCAUUUUAUAACAUAAGCCUAACACAUAUUCCUGACGAUCAUGUGCACAUUCCAGUAAUUUUUCCCAAAAUGUUGCUAAACCUUCAAAUCAAAGACUUUGUUAUCAGAUUUUAACGAAAUUGUCAACAUUAUGCUUUUCUGAUUAAUUCUCUUCCUACCUAAAUCUCCCCUUUUCUCAUGCUUUCUUUCUAUGGUCCCCUUCAUUAUCCUUAUAACUAUGUUAUAUGUAAAAUGUAACCGGUCGUCCAACCCAUUUGAUUGAAGGGCUUGGUACUCUAGACUGAAAGGUAUGUGAUUUAAAUUCAAAGAGUACAUCAGACAAAAAAACACUGAAAAUUUCAUCAAAAUUGAAUGAGGAUUAAUGAAAUUAUGACGAAUUAAAGUUGUUAUUUUUUGGUAAAACUGUUCUCUGCAAGUCCUCAUGAAUAUACAAGAUCCCAAUUUAUAUAUUUUUUUGUAUUAUAUGAAUUCAAAUUUUGUCCAAGCUAGGUUGUAAAAAAUUACGAUUGGCUACUGAUUUACUGUGUAAGACAAAAAUUAUAUUAUUUCUCACACAUAGUUGAGUUAUUCAUCUGAUUCAACACAACAAAAAUAGACAAAAAAGAAAUAAGUGGGAAUCUUGUAUAUUUGAACUAUGGGAAAUAGUUAAAAAAUAGAUGUGCUACUAAGAAUUAUUUUCUAUAUGAUUUGCAAAAUAUUAAAAAAAGAUGUCGCUAUUUUUCUUGUUUUUUUUUCUAUUUUCAUAAAAUAUUCUUUAUUAUUCUAUUCUAUAUAUUCUAUUUUUGAUAUAGAUAUUAUUUAUUUCUUUAUGUAUCUUUAAUGUAUUUAUGAUAAACUUUUGGCAUGUUUCUACAGAAAAUCAUUAAAAACGAUUUAUCUUUUCCGGACUCGAAAAACCUUAUCGCCCUUAAACCAACCUGCUUCUACAAACCGAAUAAUCUGAUUAAUUCGCUUUUCGCGUUGCAAAUACGGCGGAAAUCGGAAAAUUCAACCUAUAACCUCACGUUGCAUUGUACAUAUGUCCAAAAUUGCAUCUUCUUAGGAAAAUUUUCAAAAUUUGUGGUAGAUCUCACUCAAUGUAGCAGGUAUAAGUGUUGCACGAUCAGCUGGCGAGAUCGAAAAGGCCAGAAUGUGCAAAUAUAUGUACUGCGAAAUUGCACUUCCGGGAUUAAGCACGUCCGCCAGACACGAUACGCUAUUUUGCCGUGUGUUUUUACAGAAAAGUUAAACGGAUUAACAUGGCAAUAACCACCUCUCAGAGAUGGUUAUGAGAAACCAUAUUUUGCUUGAAGCAGUUUAUCAAUAAACCGCAUCGCGUCUGUUUCUACAAAAUUCUACAGGAAAGUUUUCCGGGAUUCUGGAUACUUACGCGGGUAAUACCUUUUAACGAUUCUAUGUAGAAACACGCCGUUUGAUAUAUCUUUUAGGUGAAAAGAAAAUAUAGAAAUAUUAGGAGGUUCUAUUUUUAUGGGGGUACUAUUUUCCCCCUUUUUGGGGAUAUUUAUUUCCUCUAAGUUUGGUACUCUUUACCUUUAAUGAAUCAUUUGGCCAUGUGAAGGCUAUCACACAUUUUGAGUUUAAUCUUCGAAAUUUGGUGUUCAUCAGUUUGUUGUCCAAACUCUGUCUUACAUGUAGAUUUGUUUAUAGGAAGAUUAACAUAAUAUCUAUGUGGAGUGCAAUCAUUGACCUCUUGUAGAGUCGUGCAGUCACAUGUAUUCAUAAUGCUGGUGCUUUUAUGCCAUACAUGUACUUGUCAAUACUGGGUUCCACUCUUUUGUACUUGAACUUAUUAGUAAAAAAAACAUUUUAUUAAUGUCAUUGAAGUAGCUGUGUGAAAGCAAUUACACACAACAGAUUUAAAAUCAAGGUUAUUGUAUUACAAGUAUCAGGUUUGUUUGCAGAACAGUGGUUUUGCCAAGUACUCAAUCCACGUAAAAAGCCAUCAGAGAGAACAUGUUUAUUCUUGGAAAUGUUAUUCAUUUGUUGUGUUUUUCAAUUAAACUCUGUCUUGAUACAUGUUUAUUUUAGAUACCAAGAUUGACAGAGUAUAGAUGUCAACGAGGAGCAAAGUCAUAUAUAUUCAUAACUUAUGUGCUUUAAUUAUAAAGUCUAUACUUGUGAAUACUGUGUUCCAUUUAUGCUGUACUUAAACUUCUUAUAGUAAAAACAUUUGACGUUCUUGAAAUAA